UUUAUCAUGGUGGGAACCAGGGUUUUGGAAACCAAUGAUUGGUGGGACAUAAGGGACAAAAGGUUGAGAACCACUGCUAUAGAGGAAACAU